GAUGAACGCUGGCGGCGUGCCUAACACAUGCAAGUCGAGCGGACAGACGGAGCUUUUGCUUCGCUUCCGCGAGCGGCGGGCGGGUGAUGCACACGAGUAUACCUGACCUUGAAGAAUGACAUAAGGUAGGGAAACCUGAUCUAGCACACGUUAAGAGAUUGAAACGCGGGGUUCAAUGGAGAAAAAGCGAUUUGAUGUCACUAGUAGAUGGUUCCUAGCCGCUUUAGCUAGUUGGUACGGUAACGGCUUACCAAGGCGACGAUGCGUAGACGAUCUGAGAGGGUGAUCGGCCACACUGGAACUGAGACACGGUCCAGACUCCUACGGGAGGCAGCAGUAGGGAAUAUUACGCAAUGGGCGAAAGCCUGACGCAGCAAUGCCGCGUGUGUGAUGAAGGUAUUCGGAUCGUAAAGCUCUGUUAGUAGGGAAGAACAACAGUGUAAGUAAAUAUGGCUGUAUUGACGGUACCUAAUCAAAAAGCAACGGCUAACUACGUG
rnacentral:rRNA from 1 species